UUUUUUUGAUGCACAGUGAAGUGAGCAGAUUCAAAGCAUUAUACACAUUAACAGCAAUAUUAUAGGAUCAAUUGCGAAAGAGUUGGCCAUUCUCAGCAAAACAGUGAUCCAAGACAAUUACAAAGAAUUCAUGACAAAAAAUGUUAUUCAUCUUCAGAGAAAGAAUGGAUAAAAAGUAUCUUGACACAUGAAGAAUUUUAAGAAAUACUUCCUUCAUCCAAUUCCUCCUGUGCCAGAUUCUGCCAUGGAGAUGGGUUUCUUAAAGACCAUGCCAACAUACUCAAAGUUCUGAGAAGUCCUAUGCAGGACAGAGUACUGGCUCAAGAGUGAAGAAGACCUUUCAAAUUCUGCUGGGUGAUAUCUGGCGUGACCUCAAGCAAAUGACUUUAGUUCCCUGGGCCCUACUUUUCUGCCAGUUCUAGAGCUAUGAGUUUAUGAUCCUCUACAAUAAAAGAAGCAUGUUUUAAUCUUUUUAGUUCUUUCUUUGCCAUUUAUACUACCACAAAGUGCAUAUUUACUUUUUACCCUUGGGCAAAAUCAUUUUACGUAAUCAAGCUACUUAAAUGGGCAUCAUCUGAGUACUUUUAAAUAUGUUAAUGCUCUCAGGUUAUAGGUUACCUACCUUUGGUGUAACUAAGAAAUACUGAGAUGUAGUUUCUUUACAGGCAGUCUUUACAACCAUCUC